UAGAGUUUGAUCCUGGCUCAGGAUGAACGCUGGCGGCGUGCUUAACACAUGCAAGUCGAACGGAGUACCCCUGAAGGAGUUUUCGGACAACUGAUGGGACUACUUAGUGGCGGACGGGUGAGUAACGCGUGAGUAACCUGCCUUGGAGUGGGGAAUAACAGCUGGAAACAGCUGCUAAUACCGCAUAAUAUGUCUGUGUCGCAUGGCACUGGACAUCAAAGAUUUAUCGCUCUGAGAUGGACUCGCGUCUGAUUAGCUAGUUGGCGGGGUAACGGCCCACCAGGGCGACGAUCAGUAGCCGGACUGAGAGGUUGGCCGGCCACAUUGGGACUGAGACACGGCCCAGACUCCUACGGGAGGCAGCAGUGGGGAAUAUUGGGCAAUGGGCGCAAGCCUGACCCAGCAACGCCGCGUGAAGGAAGAAGGCUUUCGGGUUGUAAACUUCUUUUCUCAGGGACGAAGCAAGUGACGGUACCUGAGGAAUAAGUCACGGCUAACUACGUGCCAGCAGCCGCGGUAAUACGUAGGUGGCAAGCGUUAUCCGGAUUUACUGGGUGUAAAGGGCGUGUAGGCGGGACUGCAAGUCAGAUGUGAAAACCACGGGCUCAACCUGUGGCCUGCAUUUGAAACUGUAGUUCUUGAGUACUGGAGAGGCAGACGGAAUUCCUAGUGUAGCGGUGAAAUGCGUAGAUAUUAGGAGGAACACCAGUGGCGAAGGCGGUCUGCUGGACAGCAACUGACGCUGAGGCGCGAAAGCGUGGGGAGCAAACAGGAUUAGAUACCCUGGUAGUCC
rnacentral:rRNA from 1 species